rnacentral:rRNA from 1 species
ACCGCGGCGGCUGGCUUAACACAUGCAAGUCGCACGAGAACGUUCUGGCUUUGCCAGAACAAGUACAGUGGCGGACGGGUGAGUAGCGCGUAGAUAACCUGCCUUCAGGCGCGGGACAACCUCGGGAAACCGUGGCUAAUACCGCACGACGUCUAGACCCCGCAUGGGGACUAGAUGAAAGCCUUAUGGUGCCUGAAGAUGGGUCUGCGUCGGAUUAGCUUGUUGGUGAGGUAAUGGCUCACCAAGGUGACGAUCCGUAGCUGGUCUGAGAGGAUGAUCAGCCACACUGGGACUGAGACACGGCCCAGACUCCUACGGGAGGCAGCAGUGGGGAAUCUUGCACAAUGGGGGAAACCCUGAUGCAGCCAUGCCGCGUGGAGGAAGACACCCCUAUGGGGCGUAAACUCCUUUUCUGCGCGAAGAAACCCCAGUUGUUCUGGGUGUGACGGUACCGCAGGAAUAAGGACCGGCUAACUCCGUGCCAGCAGCCGCGGU